GGCCUUGAUGGUGUAGUGGUAGCACGCACACCCCGCAAGGGUGAAUCACGAGUUCAACUUCCGCCUGAGGUCA